GGUGAGAUGGCUGAAAUUUAAGGUAAUAGACUGUAAAUCUAUUUAUGGGUUAAAAAUUCCCUCUCACUA
rnacentral:tRNA from 1 species